rnacentral:piRNA from 1 species
GAAGUCUUGAAAGAAUAGUGUGCUU